GUAAAAGACAGAUAAGUUUUCAUUGUAAACUUGACCACAUAAAGAUUUUAGACAGGACACAGACCAGUUCCUACAAACAUUGACAAUGUGCUUGGCUUUUUCCAAAAUUAAGGAUGAGGAUGUCACCGACCAGGCAGCAUUUAUUGUCCCUUCCUAAUUGCCCAGAGGGCAGUUAAGAGUCAACCACAUUGCUGUGAGUCUGGAGUCACAUGUAGGCCAAACCAGGUGGGCAAUUCGCCUUCAUGUGACGAAUUGAAAACUCCUAUCAAAAAUCACCACGGAACAGCGUUCACUCCGGGUACAUGAAAAUCAGAACAGACAUCAAAGAACCUGCCUACAGUCAAUGCCCCUUAAAGAGACAUGUCAGAACCAUACCUCUCUUCUAAUCCCUUGUGAUGGGUUUUGCAAAGUCUCAGUCAAGUUACUAAAACAAGUCAUGUGACCAUAGAGAAAUAGAACCUGUCUCC